rnacentral:lncRNA from 1 species
GAUUGCUUCCUUGGCAGGCUGGUGAAUCUGGGUUUUGGAGGGAGGGAGACCUUUUCUGAAGUCAUGGAUGGUUACAGUGAGCAGGAAAGCAGGCAGGUGGGUUUCCAGAUUCUCCACUGGAAGUUGGGUGAAACAGAGCGAUGCCUACUGGUAGGUAAGAUUCAGGCAGGCAGCUGGCUGGAGGGAAGGACCAGUGUCAGAAGCAAUCCAGAUAACAGUGGAGGUGAGUGGGUAUUGACAGUGGCAGCCCUAGCCUGUUUGGCGCCCUGGGCGAACACUCCCACGAGUGCGACAUUCGUGACAGCAGCUGUGUGCAGAUCAACAAUGGAUAAUAUAUCGAGUGCUGGAGAGAGUAUGAGCAUGCAGCGUUUAAAGCGUGGAAGUACUGACCUUACUUUGAGUUUGAUUCCAUAAAAAGUGAUAAAAAUAUUAGUGUCCGUUGUGCGUGGGAAGAAAACUUCUUUUAACAGCGAAAAAAAAAAAAACCCUAAACUUCCAAACAAGCACUGAAUGCGCUACGACGUAAUGGGAAAUUCACAGAGAAACUUGCGGAUUCUUCCAGUGACCGCUGCGGCACACCUGCACCAGGGUAAACCUCCGCCUACCCCAGUCCUGCUUUACAGGUGAAAAUAGAGCAACAGGACUGCUAGUCUUUGAUUUUAUUUAUUUUCUGCUGUGUUUUACUUGCAUCUAUUUGAAAGAGUGAAUGUAAACACACACACAAAAAAAAUAUUUUAUGUGCAGGAAUGUGCAGAAAAUAGGUUUAAGUGUUAAACAAAUUUCUUCCACUCAGAGAAUGUUGCAUAUAAUUAAAUUUUUGCUUGAUGCAUAAAGUUAAAAGAUUAAAACUAAUAAAACAAGUUUUAAAAAGAGACGUUUCCAUUUGAUUACAUUUUGUAUGAUGGAUUAUGCAGAAAAAGUAGAAUUGGGCUGAGAUAUCUAUCGCUUUAUCACCUAUUCAGGUUGUAAAUCGUGUUUUUAAAAAGUAACUAAGUAACUUAGUAAUUAAUUACUUUUGAAAAUAAGUAAUCAGUAAAGUAAAGGGUUACUUUUUUGGGGAAGUAAUCAGUAAUUAGUUACUGAUUACCUUUUUCAAGUAACUUGACCAACACUGGCUG